UACGGGGGGGGCAAGCGUUGUUCGGAAUUACUGGGCGUAAAGGGCUUGUAGGCGGCCAACUAAGUCCGACGUGAAAUCCCCAGGCUUAACCUGGGAACUGCGUCGGAUACUGGAUGGCUUGAAUUCGGGAGAGGGAUGCAGAAUUCCAGGUGUAGCGGUGAAAUGCGUAGAUAUCUGGAGGAAUACCGGUGGCGAAGGCGGCAUCCUGGACCGACAUUGACGCUGAGGAGCGAAAAGCUAGGGGGAGCAAACCGGG
rnacentral:rRNA from 1 species